rnacentral:rRNA from 1 species
GGCGCAGCAGGCGCGAAAACUUUACAAUGCGAGAAAUCGUGAUAAGGGAACCCCGAGUGCCCGUAAAUUCGGGCUGUCCGCCAGUGUAAAUAACUGGUGAAGAAAGGGCCGGGCAAGACCGGUGCCAGCCGCCGCGGUAAUACCGGCGGCUCGAGUGGUGGCCACUAUUACUGGGCUUAAAGCGUCCGUAGCUGGAUUGUUAAGUCUCUUGGGAAAUCCACCGGCUCAACCGAUGGGCGUUCAGGAGAAACUGGCAAUCUAGGGACCGGGAGAGGUGAGAGGUACUCCAGGGGUAGGAGUGAAAUCCUGUAAUCCUUGGGGGACCACCUGUGGCGAAGGCGUCUCACUAGAACGGCUCCGACAGUGAGGGACGAAAGCUGGGGGAGCAAACCGGAUUAGAUACCCGGGUAGUCCCAGCUGUAAACGAUGCGCGUUAGGUGUAUCGGUGACCACGAGUCAUCGAGGUGCCGAAGGGAAACCG